GGAAGGGUGGGAGGGGGAUGUGGAAGGUGGGAUGAGGGAUGUGGGCUGGGAGAAACAAGCAGUUGUGCACACAGGGCUCAGCAUCCUGAAAUCCUGUAAAUGGCCCCAUUUCUCCCAGUUUAAAUAGAGAGAGAGAGAUGUGGGGAUUCUCCUAUCCUACCCAUUAGAAGUUGGUUCCAGCAGUGGGGAGAGAUGCUGAACCCAUCUCCUCCACACCUCUCACUGAAAGAUCUGCAAAUUUAAUUGUGACACUGAUAUACAUAUUGCAAAACCCUUCAAAAUCCUUCUCCUGCACGGCAGGGGGGGAAAUGCUUCCCACCCAGCUCCCCAGUGCAGAACCUCCUCCAGGCUUUAGUGGAGCAUCGAGGGUCAUCUACUCCGAAGUGAUGGUGCCGAGGCAGCUGGAGCUGAGGCACGGGGCUGCCGUGAAGGUCAGGAGCUUUGGGGAAUGACGUUGGGAAGCGGUUUGUAGAGCCGGGAUGCCCUCAGCUCCAAAGAGAGGGGCGGCUCCAAACCAACCUCCAGAUGGGGUUUCCUCAAGGGGAGGUGGUCGGAAUGAAGUGAUGUGAACAGGCGAUGCUUUGGGUGUUUCAGGACGACGUGGCCUAUUUAAUCGUGGCAGAGGGAAGCUACUACGUCAUCCACCUGACGCGGGCAAAGUAAGGCUCUGCUCUGGUUCCUCCUCUGCCACCUCCAAGUGGGUCCCCCAUGGGGUCAGUCCGAAUUUCUGCUCUGCUUUACAGAAAUCUGGUGGCCAAGGACCUCCCGGUUUACACAUAUGGUGCCAGGGGAGAGCUGAUUACAGAGUUCCCCUACAUGCAGGUGCAGGAAGACUGAGGAACCCCAAAAAUAUCCUCCCCCCAGCUCACUGUUAUCCACACGGUGAUUUUCACAUUUCUCUUUAUGGAUGCAUUUCUGAGCUGGCUUGUACCUUGCAGGACGACUGCUUCUACGAGGGCUUUGUGGAAGGGUCGCCAGGCUCCAUCGUGGCCCUCAGCACCUGCUAUGGGAUCAGGUAGGGCCACGCAAUGAGCAAUGCAUUGUGGAUUACAGUAUGGGGUCAGGUGUGGCCACGCAAUGAGCAAUGCAUUGUGGAUUUCAGUACGGGGUCAGGUGUGGCCGUGCAUUAAGAAAUGCAUCGUGGAUUUUUAGGAUGUAAAUGCAUCUGCAGAAAGAUCCUGCUUGGCCACACCGCAGUGCUGGUGCGGAAAUAAGCAGCCUAAAGAUGGAUCCUCCCUAAGAGAUGUGCAGCACGGAGCUUCUAUUGCCUUCUCCCUAUCAUUUAAUAUUUAGGAUUUGGACUUGAUGGUCCUUAUGGGCCCCUUCCAAGUCAGGAUAUUCUAUGAUUCUGUGAUUCUCUGAGCAAUGUAUAGCAUUCAUCGGCAGUUUCUUAACUCUUCCCCAAAGCUUUGAUUGCUCUUUCAGGGAUGUCUCAUAUACCCCAAACACCGGGCACGAUGCUCUUUGUAUCUUCUCGCUGGAUCCCCUCCUACAGGUUCAUAGAACCAUGGAAUCACAGAAUCGUUCAGGCUGGAGAAUCAUCGGGCUGACCUCCAAGAUCCCCAACCCCAACCCAUCAGCGCCAACGACCCCAUCCCUCAAUGCCACAUCCCCACAGUUAUGAACACCCCCAGGGAUGGUGACCCUCCCACUCUUUGGAGUGGGAGGCUGUGCCACUGCAUCACCACUCUUUGGAGAAGAAAUUAUCCCUAAUACCCAACCUGACCCCCCCCCGGCACAACGCGAGGCCAUCACCCCUCACCCUAUUACUGUUACCUGGGAGCAGAGGCCGACCUCCCCCUCACUACAACCUCCUUUCAGUGCUCCAAAAGGCGUUUUUCUCACUCCAUCCUCCCCAAACAUAUAGGCUAUGGACUGUUGGGGUUUCUGGCUGAUGGCCCAAGCCCUCGGGACGGCCCACCCCACCCCACCAGCAUUUGGCUUCUUCCCUUUACUACUACUCACCUCUCUCUGCCUGAACACCCAGGGGAAUUCUGCAGAUCGGGGACCUGCGGUACGAGGUGGAGCCGGUGCCGAACUCCACCACGUUUCAGCACCUCAUCUAUCGGACAGCGCCGGCAGAGGGCUCCGCCCCGCCGUGCCAACUGCCCAUGGAACACCCAACCAAGGAUGGAGACCACUCCAAUGGGAGCAGGAAAAUCCUCAUCAUAGAGGAGGUGCCCGGUCUCGAGAGCCUGCCCGUGUCCACCAGAUACCUGGAAUUAGCUUUGAUCACCAACAAGGAGCUGUUCAAAGCCAACAGGCACAACGAGACCCUGAUGCUGCACCUCUUCAUUUCCAUCAGCAACAUCCUGAACACGGUGAGUUCCCGUGGGAUAACGCCAGCCGCGGUCGGUGCCAAACCAGGAGCCUGGGGAGGGGACGGCUGCUGUGUCUGCAAACACUGCCAGGCAGCAAUGAGCUCCUGAAUGAUGUAAAACCCAAUUCCACGGCUGAAAAAUUGCUUCAAGUGUGAGCGAAGCCAAUUGAGAUAUAAUUCUGAAAUUAUCCCCUUGAAGCUGCUUGAUGGAAUACGCAUUAUCAGCGCUAAAUGCUUCCUGGUAGCUCAUUACAUUCUCCCUCUCUCUUCAUUAUCUUGCUUUGAACCUUUGGAAAAGAG
rnacentral:lncRNA from 1 species